GGGUGUGAAGGAGACCUGCUGCCACAUCUGUCACUCUGUUGGUCACCAGGGUUAAUUCAGCCCAUCUGGCUGGCUAGGCAGGUGUCCCCUUCCUUCCUCAAAGCUCCACAUCAUCCCUCCCGAAGCUGUGCACUCUUCAAAGAGGAUGACCUUCCUGGAAUAGAGCAGGACCGGAGAAUAGCUGUGCUCCCAUGCUAGAAUCUCCAAACAAGCCCUCAAAUAGGUCUUUUAGAUUUGAGUCCUCAGCUUAAGGGUCUUUCUGUGGUGAGCUGAGGGGACAGGCGUGAGCUGUCACACCCAG
rnacentral:snRNA from 1 species